UAAAAUUUAAGUUAAGUAUUAAACUAUUAAUUUUCAAAAUUAAAAAUAAUUAUAUUAAUUUUAA
rnacentral:tRNA from 1 species